GGGGGCAACCCUGAUCCAGCCAUCCCGCGUGUGCGAUGAAGGCCUUCGGGUUGUAAAGCACUUUGGCAGGAAAGAACGGCACGGGCUAAUAUCCUGUGCAACUGACGGUACCUGCAGAAUAAGCACCGGCUAACUACGUGCCAGCAGCCGCGGUAAUACGUAGGGUGCAAGCGUUAAUCGGAAUUACUGGGCGUAAAGCGUGCGCAGGCGGUUCGGAAAGAAAGAUGUGAAAUCCCAGGGCUUAACUUGGAACUGCAUUUUAACUACCGAGCUAGAGUGUGUCAGAGGGAGGUGAAUUCCGCGUGUAGCAGUGAAAUGCGUAGAUAUGCGGAGGAACACCGAUGGCGAAGGCAGCCUCCUGGGAUAACACUGACGCUCAUGCACGAAAGUGUGGGGAGCAAACAGGAUUAGAUACCCUGGUAGUCCACGCCCUAAACGAUGUCAACUAGCUGUUGGGGCCUUCGGGCCUUGGUAGCGCAGCUAACGCGUGAAGUUGACCGCCUGGGGAGUACGGUCGCAAGAUUAAAACUCAAAGGAAUUGACGGGGACCCGCACAAGCGGUGGAUGAUGUGGAUUAAUUCGAUGCAACGCGAAAAACCUUACCUACCCUUGACAUGUCUGGAAUCCCGAAGAGAUUUGGGAGUGCUCGCAAGAGAACCGGAACACAGGUGCUGCAUGGCUGUCGUCAGCUCGUGUCGUGAGAUGUUGGGUAAGUCCCGCAACGAGCGCAACCCUUGUCAUUAGUUGCUACGAAAGGGCACUCUAAUGAGACUGCCGGUGACAAACCGGAGGAAGGUGGGGAUGACGUCAAGUCCUCAUGGCCCUUAUGGGUAGGGCUUCACACGUCAUACAAUGGUCGGGACAGAGGGUUGCCAACCCGCGAGGGGGAGCCAAUCCCAGAAACCCGGUCGUAGUCCGGAUCGCAGUCUGCAACUCGACUGCGUGAAGUCGGAAUCGCUAGUAAUCGCGGAUCAGCAUGUCGCGGUGAAUACGUUCCCGGGUCUUGUACACACCGCCCGUCACACCAUGGGAGUGGGUUUUACCAGAAGUAGUUAGCCUAACCGCAAGGGGGGCGAUUACCACGGUAGGAUUCAUGACUGGGGUGAAGUCGUAACAAGGUAGCCGUAUCGGAAGGUGCGGCUGGAUCACC
rnacentral:rRNA from 1 species